CUAGCCGUAAACGAUGGGUACUAGGUGUGGGUGGUUUCGAUACCAUCCGUGCCGUAGUUAACGCAUUAAGUACCCCGCCUGGGGAGUACGUGCGCAAGCAUGAAACUCAAAGGAAUUGACGGGGGCCCGCACAAGCGGUGGAGCAUGUGGUUUAAUUCGAAGCAACGCGAAGAACCUUACCAGGCCUUGACAUCCCCUGACCGUCAUGGAAACAUGGCUUCUCUUCGGAGCAGGGAGACAGGUGG
rnacentral:rRNA from 1 species